rnacentral:rRNA from 2 species
UACAGAGGGGGCGAGCGUUAUUCGGAAUUAUUGGGCGUAAAGGGCGCGUAGGCGGCCUUGUAAGUCUUGGGUGAAAUCCCUCAGCUCAACUGAGGAACUGCCUCGGAUACUGCAGGGCUUGAGGCCGGGAGAGGGUAGUGGAAUUCCCAGUGUAGCGGUGAAAUGCGUAGAUAUUGGGAGGAACACCGGUGGCGAAGGCGGCUACCUGGACCGGUUCUGACGCUGAUGCGCGAAAGCGUGGGGAGCAAACAGG